UGGCAUCUAUACAAAGAAAACAAGUCACCAUGAAAAGAAUUCCUCCUUUUGGCAGAGAAAGAUGAUCAGGAAGAACAGUCAAUGGAUCACGACAUAGCAAUCAUCAGAUCUAGUCCCCAGAAGAAACCUUCUUGGUGAGAAGACAAAAUUUACUGACAACCAGUAUCUUACAGUGAGAUGUUGUUCACACGGUACUGGAUUUAAGCAGGAUCUUCACCACACCCAGUCCACUCCCAAUACAUCUAGUAUGAGAACAGAAAUGGUAUGAUGACUAGAUGGGAAGCAAGCUUGGGGCUUCUGGAUCUCUGCUGUGCAGAAUAUGGGAGAAAAGCUACACUGUGGAAAUUCUACUCACGACUGGCCCAGGAGCUUUGACCUUCCUUGCAUUUGGCCAUGUUGGCCUCUCCUACAAAAUGGAAAGUCUUUCCAGCUUUCAGCCGACUUUCCCCCUUCUCUCUGCAGUCUAGUGACAAUAUUGCUGACCUGCCUUAUAUGGUUCUUUCAAGGACUGCUAGAAUAACAUCUCAUUACAUAAAAUAACAUUUGUGCA